CCAGGUCUGUUUAGUGAUGUCUUGCCAACUCCUACAAGCUAGAGUCCCAGGUCUGUUUAGUGCUGUCUUGUCAACUCCUACUAGCUAGAGUCCCAGGUCUGUUUAGUGCUGUCUUGCCAACUCCUACUAGCUAGAGUCCCAGGUCUGUUUAGUGCUGUCUUGCCAACUCCUACUAGCUAGAGUCCCAGGUCUGUUUAGUGCUGUCUUGCCAACUCCUACUAGCAAGAGUCCCAGGUCUGUUUAGUGCUGUCUUGCCAACUCCUACUAGCAAGAGUCCCAGGUCCGUUUUUAAUAUGAAACUAAUCGUUGGAUAACAGAUCUACUCUCGGAACUCAUUUACACACGUUACUGUGUGUGUUUCGAUUCUCUCUCGCACAAACACACACAUACACGCUCACCCUCUAUAACCACUCUUUAUAUUUACAGUGGUGAUGGACAGCUGAAGGCAUUUCGUUGUGAAUUCUGAAAACAAGCCAACCUAACUCAGAAAUACAUUUCACUGGUUGCCAUGGUGAAUAAUCCAAUAAUAAUU